rnacentral:rRNA from 1 species
GCAGAACGCGAAGAACCUUACCUGGGCUCGAAAUGCAGAUGACCAUCGGCGAAAGUCGACUUCCGCAAGGACAACUGUAUAGGUGCUGCAUGGCUGUCGUCAGCUCGUGUCGUGAGAUGUUGGGUUAAGUCCCGCAACGAGCGCAACCCUUGUUCUCUGUUGCCAUCAGGUCAAGCUGGGCACUCUGAGGAGACUGCCGGUGACAAACCGGAGGAAGGUGGGAUGGACGUCAAGUCAGCAUGGCCUUUAUGUCCAGGGCUACACACGUGCUACAAUGGCCGGUACAAAGCGCUGCAAGCCCGCGAGGGUAAGCCAAUCGCAUAAAGCCGGUCUCAGUUCGGAUUGCAGGCUGCAACUCGCCUGCAUGAAGUUGGAAUCGCUAGUAAUCGCAGAUCAGCACGCUGCGGUGAAU